rnacentral:rRNA from 1 species
UACGGAGGGUGCAAGCGUUAUCCGGAUUCACUGGGUUUAAAGGGUGCGUAGGUGGGUAAGUAAGUCAGUGGUGAAAUCUCCGGGCUUAACCCGGAAACUGCCAUUGAUACUAUUUGUCUUGAAUACUGUGGAGGUCAGCGGAAUAUGUCAUGUAGCGGUGAAAUGCUUAGAUAUGACAUAGAACACCAAUUGCGAAGGCAGCUGGCUACACAGAUAUUGACGCUGAGGCACGAAAGCGUGGGGAUCAAACAGG